rnacentral:rRNA from 1 species
GAUGAACGCUGGCGGCGUGCCUAAUACAUGCAAGUCGAGCGAACAGACGAGGAGCUUGCUCCUCUGACGUUAGCGGCGGACGGGUGAGUAACACGUGGAUAACCUACCUAUAAGACUGGGAUAACUUCGGGAAACCGGAUCUAAUACCGGAUAAUAUAUUGAACCGCAUGGUUCAAUAGUGAAAGACGGUUUUGCUGUCACUCAUAGAUGGAUCCCCGCCGCAUUAGCUAGUUGGUAAGGUAAAGGCUUACCAAGGCAACGAUGCGUAGCCGACCUGAGAGGGUGAUCGGCCACACUGGAACUGAGACACGGUCCAGACUACUACGGGAGGCAGCAGUAGGGAAUCUUCCGCAAUGGGCGAAAGCCUGACGGAGCAACGCCGCGUGAGUGAUGAAGGUCUUCGGAUCGUAAAACUCUGUUAUUAGGGAAGAACAAAUGUGUAAGUAACUAUGCACGUCUUGACGGUACCUAAUCAGAAAGCCACGGCUAACUACGUG